rnacentral:rRNA from 1 species
GGUUAAGCGACUAAGCGUACACGGUGGAUGCCCUGGCAGUCAGAGGCGAUGAAGGGCGUGCUAAUCUGCGAUAAGCGCCGGUAAGGUGAUAUGAACCGUUAUAACCGGCGAUACCCGAAUGGGGAAACCCAGUGUGAUUCGUCACACUAUCAUUAACUGAAUCCAUAGGUUAAUGAGGCGAACCGGGGGAACUGAAACAUCUAAGUACCCCGAGGAAAAGAAAUCAACCGAGAUUCCCCCAGUAGCGGCGAGCGAACGGGGAGGAGCCCAGAGCCUGAAUCAGCAUGUGUGUUAGUGGAAGCGUCUGGAAAGGCGCGCGAUACAGGGUGACAGCCCCGUACACAAAAGCGCAUGUGCUGUGAGCUCGAUGAGUAGGGCGGGACACGUGGUAUCCUGUCUGAAUAUGGGGGGACCAUCCUCCAAGGCUAAAUACUCCUGACUGACCGAUAGUGAACCAGUACCGUGAGGGAAAGGCGAAAAGAACCCCGGCGAGGGGAGUGAAAAAGAACCUGAAACCGUGUACGUACAAGCAGUGGGAGCACAGGUUUACCUGUGUGACUGCGUACCUUUUGUAUAAUGGGUCAGCGACUUAUAUUCUGUAGCAAGGUUAACCGAAUAGGGGAGCCGUAGGGAAACCGAGUCUUAACCGGGCGUUAAGUUGCAGGGUAUAGACCCGAAACCCGGUGAUCUAGCCAUGGGCAGGUUGAAGGUUGGGUAACACUAACUGGAGGACCGAACCGACUAAUGUUGAAAAAUUAGCGGAUGACCUGUGGCUGGGGGUGAAAGGCCAAUCAAACCGGGAGAUAGCUGGUUCUCCCCGAAAGCUAUUUAGGUAGCGCCUCGUGAACUCAUCUCCGGGGGUAGAGCACUGUUUCGGCUAGGGGGCCAUCCCGGCUUACCAACCCGAUGCAAACUGCGAAUACCGGAGAAUGUUAUCACGGGAGACACACGGCGGGUGCUAACGUCCGUCGUGAAGAGGGAAACAACCCAGACCGCCAGCUAAGGUCCCAAAGUCAUGGUUAAGUGGGAAACGAUGUGGGAAGGCCCAGACAGCCAGGAUGUUGGCUUAGAAGCAGCCAUCAUUUAAAGAAAGCGUAAUAGCUCACUGGUCGAGUCGGCCUGCGCGGAAGAUGUAACGGGGCUAAACCAUGCACCGAAGCUGCGGCAGCGAACGUAUCACUUAAAGCGAUUCAGCGGGUUACGAUUGACGGAGCGAAGCGACGUCAAAGCGUAUACAAAGUCGAGUCGGUUUAAGGAUACGUUCGUUGGGUAGGGGAGCGUUCUGUAAGCCUGUGAAGGUGGCCUGUGAGGGUUGCUGGAGGUAUCAGAAGUGCGAAUGCUGACAUAAGUAACGAUAAAGCGGGUGAAAAGCCCGCUCGCCGGAAGACCAAGGGUUCCUGUCCAACGUUAAUCGGGGCAGGGUGAGUCGACCCCUAAGGCGAGGCCGAAAGGCGUAGUCGAUGGGAAACGGGUUAAUAUUCCCGUACUUGGUGUUACUGCGAAGGGGGGACGGAGAAGGCUAUGUUGGCCGGGCGACGGUUGUCCCGGUUUAAGCGUGUAGGCUGGUUUUCCAGGCAAAUCCGGAAAAUCAAGGCUGAGGCGUGACGACGAGGCACUACGGUGCUGAAGCAACAAAUGCCCUGCUUCCAGGAAAAGCCUCUAAGCAUCAGGUAACAUCAAAUCGUACCCCAAACCGACACAGGUGGUCAGGUAGAGAAUACCAAGGCGCUUGAGAGAACUCGGGUGAAGGAACUAGGCAAAAUGGUGCCGUAACUUCGGGAGAAGGCACGCUGACACGUAGGUGAAGUGAUUUACUCACGGAGCUGAAGUCAGUCGAAGAUACCAGCUGGCUGCAACUGUUUAUUAAAAACACAGCACUGUGCAAACACGAAAGUGGACGUAUACGGUGUGACGCCUGCCCGGUGCCGGAAGGUUAAUUGAUGGGGUCAGCGCAAGCGAAGCUCCUGAUCGAAGCCCCGGUAAACGGCGGCCGUAACUAUAACGGUCCUAAGGUAGCGAAAUUCCUUGUCGGGUAAGUUCCGACCUGCACGAAUGGCGUAAUGAUGGCCAGGCUGUCUCCACCCGAGACUCAGUGAAAUUGAACUCGCUGUGAAGAUGCAGUGUACCCGCGGCAAGACGGAAAGACCCCGUGAACCUUUACUAUAGCUUGACACUGAACAUUGAGCCUUGAUGUGUAGGAUAGGUGGGAGGCUUUGAAGUGUGGACGCCAGUCUGCAUGGAGCCGACCUUGAAAUACCACCCUUUAAUGUUUGAUGUUCUAACGUGGACCCGUAAUCCGGGUUGCGGACAGUGUCUGGUGGGUAGUUUGACUGGGGCGGUCUCCUCCUAAAGAGUAACGGAGGAGCACGAAGGUUGGCUAAUCCUGGUCGGACAUCAGGAGGUUAGUGCAAUGGCAUAAGCCAGCUUGACUGCGAGCGUGACGGCGCGAGCAGGUGCGAAAGCAGGUCAUAGUGAUCCGGUGGUUCUGAAUGGAAGGGCCAUCGCUCAACGGAUAAAAGGUACUCCGGGGAUAACAGGCUGAUACCGCCCAAGAGUUCAUAUCGACGGCGGUGUUUGGCACCUCGAUGUCGGCUCAUCACAUCCUGGGGCUGAAGUAGGUCCCAAGGGUAUGGCUGUUCGCCAUUUAAAGUGGUACGCGAGCUGGGUUUAGAACGUCGUGAGACAGUUCGGUCCCUAUCUGCCGUGGGCGCUGGAGAACUGAGGGGGGCUGCUCCUAGUACGAGAGGACCGGAGUGGACGCAUCACUGGUGUUCGGGUUGUCAUGCCAAUGGCACUGCCCGGUAGCUAAAUGCGGAAGAGAUAAGUGCUGAAAGCAUCUAAGCACGAAACUUGCCCCGAGAUGAGUUCUCCCUGAGACUUAGAGUCUCCUGAAGGAACGUUGAAGACGACGACGUUGAUAGGCCGGGUGUGUAAGCGCAGCGAUGCGUUGAGCUAACCGGUACUAAUGAACCGUGAGGCUUAACCUU